rnacentral:rRNA from 1 species
CCCUUAGAUGUCCGGGGCCGCACGCGCGCUACACUGAAGGAAUCAGCGUGGCUUUCUCCCUGACCCGAAAGGGUUGGGAAACCCGUUGAAUCUCCUUCGUGAUAGGGAUUGGGGCUUGAAAUUGUUCCCCAUGAACGAGGAAUUCCCAGUAAGCGCGAGUCAUAAGCUCGCGUUGAUUACGUCCCUGCCCUUUGUACACACCGCCCGUCGCUACUACCGAUUGGAUAUUCCGGUGAAAUUUUCGGAUUUGUGGGAGGUUAACUUCAACUGGCUUUGUCGGUUGAGACUCUCUGAAAAAGUUAAUUAAAUCUUAGUAUCUAGAGGAAGGAGAAGUCGUAACA